rnacentral:rRNA from 1 species
GAUGAACGCUGGCGGCGUGCUUAACACAUGCAAGUCGAACGGUGAACGAGGGAGCUUGCUCCCUCCGGAUCAGUGGCGAACGGGUGAGUAACACGUGAGCAAUCUGCCCUGGACUCUGGGAUAAGCGUUGGAAACGACGUCUAAUACCGGAUACGAGGCGUGGGGGCAUCCCCAACGCCUGGAAAGAACUUCGGUCCAGGAUGAGCUCGCGGCCUAUCAGCUUGUUGGUGAGGUAACGGCUCACCAAGGCGACGACGGGUAGCCGGCCUGAGCGGGUGACCGGCCAGACUGGGACUGAGACACGGCCCAGACUCCUACGGGAGGCAGCAGUGGGGAAUAUUGCACAAUGGGCGCAAGCCUGAUGCAGCAACGCCGCGUGAGGGACGACGGCCUCCGGGUUGUAAACCUCUUUUAGCAGGGAAGAAGCGAAAGUGACGGUACCUGCAGAAAAAGCACCGGCUAACUACGUGCCAGCCGCCGCAGUAACAC